rnacentral:rRNA from 1 species
UACGAAGGGGGCUAGCGUUGCUCGGAAUUACUGGGCGUAAAGGGCGCGUAGGCGGACAACUUAGUCAGAGGUGAAAGCCCAGGGCUCAACCUUGGAAUUGCCUUUGAUACUGGUUGUCUUGAGUUCGGGAGAGGUGAGUGGAAUGCCGAGUGUAGAGGUGAAAUUCGUAGAUAUUCGGCAGAACACCAGUGGCGAAGGCGGCUCACUGGCCCGUUACCGACGCUCAGGCGCGACAGCGUGGGGAGCAAACAGG